rnacentral:rRNA from 1 species
AUGGACUCAGGUUCAAGUUCCGAAGUAAUUACACAUAGUAUAGAAAUUCAAAAAGAAAUCAGUACGAUCCACAUCAUAAUCCAUACCGGAUUCCCAACUUUAUUAAAUAAAAAAGGAGCAAUCAAAGAAUUAGAGAAAUAUCUACAAAAGAAAAUUAACUCUGUAAACCAGAAAUUUAAUAUUUCUAUCGAAAAAGUUAAAGAACCUUAUAGACAGCCUAACAUUCUUGCAGAAUACAUAGCUUUCCAAUUAAAAAAUAAAGUUUCAUUCUGA